rnacentral:rRNA from 1 species
CCUACGGGGCGCAGCAGUAGGGAAUCUUCCACAAUGGACGAAAGUCUGAUGGAGCAACGCCGCGUGAGUGAAGAAGGGUUUCGGCUCGUAAAGCUCUGUUGGUAGUGAAGAAAGAUAGAGGUAGUAACUGGCCUUUAUUUGACGGUAAUUACUUAGAAAGUCACGGCUAACUACGUGCCAGCAGCCGCGGUAAUACGUAGGUGGCGAGCGUUAUCCGGAAUGAUUGGGCGUAAAGGGUGCGCAGGCGGUCCUGGAAGUCUGGAGGGAAACGCAU